UAACUCUCAUCCUACACCGUUGGAUCGAGAAAUGGACGUCCGAGAUUCGUCCACGUCACUCAUGGUGACCAUGAGUUAAAAUUUAUUCGUCCACGUCACAUGAGUUAAAAUUUAUUCGUCCACGUCACCAUGAGUGUGAGUGACGUAGACGAAUCUCGGAUGUCCAUUUCUCGAUCCAACGGUGUAGGAUGAAAGUUA
rnacentral:pre_miRNA from 2 species